GACGAACGCUGGCGGCGUGCUUAACACAUGCAAGUCGAACGGUAAGGCCCUUCGGGGUACACGAGUGGCGAACGGGUGAGUAACACGUGGGUGAUCUGCCCUGCACUUCGGGAUAAGCCUGGGAAACUGGGUCUAAUACCGGAUAGGACCACUGCCUGCAUGGGUGGUGGUGGAAAGCUUUUGCGGUGUGGGAUGGGCCCGCGGCCUAUCAGCUUGUUGGUGGGGUGAUGGCCUACCAAGGCGACGACGGGUAGCCGGCCUGAGAGGGUGACCGGCCACACUGGGACUGAGGUACGGCCCAGACUCCUACGGGAGGCAGCAGUGGGGAAUAUUGCACAUUGGGCGCAAGCCUGAUGCAGCGACGCCGCGUGAGGGAUGACGGCCUUCGGGUUGUAAACCUCUUUCAGCUAUGACGAAGCGCAAGUGACGGUAGUAGCAGAAGAAGGACCGGCCAACUACGUGCCAGCAGCCGCGGUAA
rnacentral:rRNA from 1 species